rnacentral:lncRNA from 1 species
UCCUAUAAUUAAGUUGGUCAACAUAUAGCCUUGAGCUCUCCAACCUUAAUAGCAAGCUUUUGGGGUGUGGUUCUCCCCGGAUUGUAUUAUACAACAGAAUAACUUCAUUGCAUAUAUACAUUCAAGAGUUAAAUUAAAUUAUUAGAUGGAAACUCAAAUUUCAGUAGACAAACUAAAAGAUACAUGCUUCCAAUUUUUACUUUUAUCUCAAACUCAAAGUGCUAAUUAGAUUUCUUCUUUGUAUCAAGACGAGCUUGUUGAAGGCAAUAAAUGCCUAUGGAUGGGUAUGUGAACAAAGAGACCAGGCCACCAUGGUGUAGAUGGGGUUGCAGGUGGAGGGUUUGCAAUGGUAGGGAUGGGCGGAAAACGUUCCCACAUCUGCUCCUCUCCCAACCUACAGUC